AAAGGCUUAGUAUAUUUUUGUAUGAUUCUUUGUCAAAGGGUAGGUUUAGCUUUUGG
rnacentral:tRNA from 1 species